rnacentral:lncRNA from 1 species
GACUUAUCUUUCUCAACAUCUCUGUCUGUUCCCUCAGAGCCUAAGGAUGACACAGGAAAUGAUUGCAAGCCACUGAGGCUGGAGGAGGGGAUGACCGCUGGUGACCGUGCCUCAUGACUCACCCGAACUAGACGUCGGCUCUCCCGAGGGUGGCUGGAUGGUCCCUCAUACACCCUCCUCAGGUGCAGCCAUUCCCAGGCACUAUGACAAAAUGGAUCCUCAGAGAGGUUAAGACAUUUCUCUGAGAUGAAAGAAGAAGAUUAUGGGUAUGGCACAAUUAUUCCUGGCUCCAAAGCAUGAACUCAGGCUGUUGUUACACUACAUUUUCCCAAACAUUUAAAAGAUCACUUAAAAAAUUACCUUUAUUGUAU